AGGUGCAUGCCUCUAGCAUGAAGUCAGAUAAGUGA
rnacentral:rRNA from 1 species